CCUACGGGAGGCAGCAGUGGGGAAUAUUGCACAAUGGGGGAAACCCUGAUGCAGCGACGCCGCGUGAGUGAAGAAGUAUUUCGGUAUGUAAAGCUCUAUCAGCAGGGAAGAAGAAAGACGGUACCUGACUAAGAAGCCCCGGCUAACUACGUGCCAGCAGCCGCGGUAAUACGGAGGGGGCAAGCGUUAUCCGGAUUUACUGGGGGGAAAGGGAGCGUAGACGGCUGUGCAAGUCUGAAGUGAAAGCCCAGGGCUCAACCCUGGGACUGCUUUGGAAACUGUGGAGCUAGAGUGCUGGAGAGGUAAGUGGAAUUCCAGGUGUAGCGGUGAAAUGCGUAGAUAUUAGGAGGAACACCAGUGGCGAAGGCGGCUUACUGGACAGUAACUGACGUUGAGGCUCGAAAGCGUGGGGAGCAAACAGGAUUAGAUACCCCUGUAGUC
rnacentral:rRNA from 1 species